rnacentral:rRNA from 1 species
CUACGGGCGGCAGCAGUGAGGAAUAUUGCACAAUGGGGGGAACCCUGAUGCAGCAACGCCGCGUGGAGGAUGACGCAUUUCGGUGUGUAAACUCCUUUUAUAUGUCAAGAAAAUGACGGUAGCAUAUGAAUAAGCGCCGGCUAACUCCGUGCCAGCAGCCGCGGUAAUACGGAGGGCGCAAGCGUUACUCGGAAUCACUGGGCGUAAAGGACGCGUAGGCGGGAUUGUAAGUCAGGUGUGAAAUCCUAUGGCUCAACCAUAGAACUGCACUUGAAACUACAAACUUAGAGUAUGGGAGGGGCAGAUGGAAUUAGUGGUGUAGGGGUAAAAUCCGUAGAUAUCACUAGGAAUACCGAAAGCGAAGGCGAUCUGCUGGAACAUUACUGACGCUGAGGCGUGAAAGCGUGGGGAGCAAACAGGAUUAGAUACCCGCGUAGUC